rnacentral:rRNA from 1 species
AAUUAGACCGCAUGGUCUUGUUAUUAAAGAAUUUCGGUUAUCGAUGGGGAUGCGUUCCAUUAGGCAGUUGGUGAGGUAACGGCUCACCAAACCUUCGAUGGAUAGGGGUUCUGAGAGGAAGGUCCCCCACAUUGGAACUGAGACACGGUCCAAACUCCUACGGGAGGCAGCAGUGAGGAAUAUUGGUCAAUGGGCGCAGGCCUGAACCAGCCAAGUAGCGUGAAGGAUGACUGCCCUAUGGGUUGUAAACUUCUUUUAUAUGGGAAUAAAGUUUUCCACGUGUGGAAUUUUGUAUGUACCAUAUGAAUAAGGAUCGGCUAACUCCGUGCCAGCAGCCGCGGUAAUACGGAGGAUCCGAGCGUUAUCCGGAUUUAUUGGGUUUAAAGGGAGCGUAGGUGGACAGUUAAGUCAGUUGUGAAAGUUUGCGGCUCAACCGUAAAAUUGCAGUUGAUACUGGCUGUCUUGAGUACAGUAGAGGUGGGCGGAAUUCGUGGUGUAGCGGUGAAAUGCUUAGAUAUCACGAAGAACUCCGAUUGCGAAGGCAGCUCACUGGACUGCAACUGACACUGAUGCUCGAAAGUGUGGGUAUCAAACAGGAUUAGAUACCCUGGUAGUCCACACAGUAAACGAUGAAUACUCGCUGUUUGCGAUAUACAGUAAGCGGCCAAGCGAAAGCAUUAAGUAUUCCACCUGGGGAGUACGCCGGCAACGGUGAAACUCAAAGGAAUUGACGGGGGCCCGCACAAGCGGAGGAACAUGUGGUUUAAUUCGAUGAUACGCGAGGAACCUUACCCGGGCUUAAAUUGCAUUUGAAUAUAUUGGAAACAGUAUAGUCGUAAGACAAAUGUGAAGGUGCUGCAUGGUUGUCGUCAGCUCGUGCCGUGAGGUGUCGGCUUAAGUGCCAUAACGAGCGCAACCCUUAUCUUUAGUUACUAACAGGUCAUGCUGAGGACUCUAGAGAGACUGCCGUCGUAAGAUGUGAGGAAGGUGGGGAUGACGUCAAAUCAGCACGGCCCUUACGUCCGGGGCUACACACGUGUUACAAUGGGGGGUACAGAAGGCAGCUACCUGGUGACAGGAUGCUAAUCCCAAAAGCCUCUCUCAGUUCGGAUCGAAGUCUGCAACCCGACUUCGUGAAGCUGGAUUC